UACGUAGGUGGCAAGCGUUGUCCGGAUUUAUUGGGUUUAAAGGGUGCGUAGGCGGUCUAUUAAGUCAGCGGUGAAAUACUCCAGCUUAACUGGAGGGGCGCCAUUGAUACUGAUGGACUUGAGUCAAGUCGAGGUAGGCGGAAUUGACGGUGUAGCGGUGAAAUGCUUAGAUAUCGUCAAGAACACCAAUAGUGAAGACAGCUUACUGGGCUUAAACUGACGCUGAGGCACGAAAGUGUGGGGAUCAAACAGG
rnacentral:rRNA from 1 species